GUAUGGUGUUCCCUAAAGCACCAGGUGUAUGGUGUCCCCUAAAGCACCAGGUGUAGAGGUGUAUGGUGUUCCCUAAAGCACCAGGUGUAGAGGUGUAUGGUGUCCCCUAAAGCACCAGGUGUAUGGUGUCCCCUAAAGCACCAGGUGUAGAGGUGUAUGGUGUUCCCUAAAGCACCAGGUGUAGAGGUGUAUGGUGUCCCCUAAAGCACCAGGUGUAGUGGUGUAUGGUGUCCCCUAAAGCACCAGGUGUAUGGUGUCCCCUAAAGCACCAGGUGUAGUGGUGUAUGGUGUCCCCUAAAGCACCAGGUGUAUGGUGUCCCCUAAAGCACCAGGUGUAUGGUGUCCCCUAAAGCACCAGGUGUAUGGUGUCCCCUAAAGCACCAGGUGUAUGGUGUCCCCUAAAGCACCAGGUGUAUGGUGUCCCCUAAAGCACCAGGUGUAGUGGUGUAUGGUGUUCCCUAAAGCACCAGGUGUAUGGUGUCCCCUAAAGCACCAGGUAUAGUGGUGUAUGGUGUCCCCUAAAGCACCAGGUGGAG